rnacentral:rRNA from 1 species
UACGUAGGGGGCAAGCGUUGUCCGGAAUUAUUGGGCGUAAAGCGCGCGCAGGCGGUUAAUUAAGUUGGGUGUUUAAGCCCGGGGCUCAACCCCGGUUCGCAUCCAAAACUGGUUGACUUGAGUGUAGGAGAGGAAAGUGGAAUUCCACGUGUAGCGGUGAAAUGCGUAGAGAUGUGGAGGAACACCAGUGGCGAAGGCGCACACCUGGCCCGAUACUGACGCUGAGGCGCGAAAGCUAGGGGAGCAAACGGG